rnacentral:rRNA from 1 species
UACAGAGGGUGCAAACGUUGCUCGGAAUUAUUGGGCGUAAAGCGCAUGUAGGCGGCACGGUAAGUCGACUGUGAAAGCCCUUGGCUCAACCAAGGAAGUGCAGUCGAAACUGCCGAGCUCGAGUUCUGAAGAGGGUCGCGGAAUGGCCAGUGUAGAGGUGAAAUUCGUAGAUAUUAGGAAGAACACCGGUGGCGAAGGCGGCCCACUGGCUCGAUACUGACGCUGAGGUGCGAAAGCGUGGGGAGCAAACAGG